UGGUCAUGUAUAUUUCUAGGAUCUGGGUAUUAUUCGAACAGGACUUUUUGCAUGAGAAAGUCUCUGGGAAAAAAAUGUAGAAUUUUUAAGAGGUCUUGCCCUCGCACGUAAUGUGUUGAAAAUAAGUUUUGGAUUAUCAGAUCUAUAUAUGACUUGGAUCCCUGUUUCUUUUGAGGUACUUACAUAUAGGAUUAAGGACCCAAAUCAAUCUUCCGCUUUUGAUGGUUAAAUUCCUCAAACGGACUGAUUUUAUAACUACUGUCCUCCUGCAAUUGAGACAUUAUCAAGAGGUUUGUUUCAAGAGGUAAUCGUAACAAAUACCUUUCCGGUGUCGGAGCAAAACUAUUUUCCUCAGCUAACAGAAUUGUCGGUUGCAAGCCUCCUGGGGGAGAUGCCUGAUCUGGUGGCUUUGAACCGACUCACGAUUUACACCGGUUGUUGUGCGCGUUUCCCAGCUUCCAUUUUUGUCAAUGGCUGCCUUGUUGUAUAAUGGAAUUGAUGGCCAUCAAACGAAUCAAGUAAUCAGAUUAAGAAACAAGCCACAUGAAGAUGGUCGACCAUAGUGUCAGAGAGAAUGUUGCCACAGCAUAAGUCCAUAGCAUAAUGACAGAGCAUUCACUCUCUCCUGUCUCAAGCAAUUGAGAAAUGGUACCUGCAGCAAGUCCAUGACAUUAGCAUUGGUUACUCAAAUAUUGCAUUCAUUGGACAACCAAACUUCACCAAUCGAGAUUCAAAUCAAUCCAUACUUUCAAUUUCAGAAUCCAAAAUGUAUGGUUAUAGAUGAGUCGAGCCAAGUCGACUUGAGUAGUAAGGUGCUCAAGCUAAAUUCGUUUAGAUUUGUUGUUAGACUAGAGCUGAACUCAUACACUUAAACAAAAAUGAGAAAGUAGUAAGCAUCCAUACCUA